AACGAACGCUGGCGGCAGGCUUAACACAUGCAAGUCGAACGCCCCUUCGGGGGAGUGGCAGACGGGUGAGUAACGCGUGGGAACGUGCCCUUCAGUUCGGGAUAACCCAGGGAAACUUGGGCCAAUACCGGAUACGUGCGAGAGCAGAAAGAUUUAUCGCUGAAGGGUCGGCCCGCGUCUGAUUAGCUGGUUGGUGAGGUAACGGCUCACCAAGGCGACAAUCAGUAGCUGGUCUGAGAGGAUGAUCAGCCACACUGGGACUGAGACACGGCCCAGACUCCUACGGGAGGCAGCAGUGGGGAAUAUUGGACAAUGGGCGCAAGCCUGAUCCAGCCAUGCCGCGUGAGUGAUGACGGCCUUAGGGUUGUAAAGCUCUUUCGUCCGGGACGAUAAUGACGGUACCGGAAGAAGAAGCCCCGGCUAACUUCGUGCCAGCCGCCGCCGUAACAC
rnacentral:rRNA from 1 species